GGUUUGCGUAGCAGACAGGGGGAGAGAGAGAGAGAGAGGAGGGGGAAGAAGACGGACGCAGCAACGAAGACAUCUGGUGAUUGGCGAUUGUAGGAGACCGACUGGCGUCGAGCAAUAGCGGAAGAAAAGACGAGCGACGAAGAACCACAUUGUCGAUGAGCAAUAUGUCUAUUCUAAUGCCAUUCAUGUAUUCUGCACCUACAAGCUAUCGAGCAUUGCUUAACAAUGCAAGUGGUUAUGAGUUCGGGUUACUAGAUUCACAUGCCUCAAACAAUCCUACAUGUAGUCAGGCGCCACAGUAGCAUGGGCAUGAUAAAACAGUUGAUACAUUGAAAGCACAUGAUCAUGAUGGAAUUUAAUGGAUUAGAAAUUUGUCUUUGUUUCCUUGUGAAAGUUGUUUUUGAUGUAUUAAGUACUCACUGUUAUUUGGGAUUUAUUAGCGACUUCGUUCUAAAUUGUACUCUUACUAGCGUAUGCUCGUGCCUGAAGGCACGAUAUAAAUAAUUGUGAUCAACAUACAGUUAUAAUUCAUAUGUAUCAUAUUAAAAUUUAUUAUGAAGUUUGUAAUUUUUUUGACAAAAAUAUUGAAAAAAUAUAAAGAAAUACUAUUCUUUUUAAAAAUUGUAACAAUUUUAUUUGUAUCUUAAGUUUUAUAAAACUCAAAUAAAGUAACAACGAAAUAAUCCAAAACUCCAGUGAUGCAUCUCACAGAGAAGCACCGAAAUACUC